AGCUGCAAUAAUGGAAAUGAGAGACGCAUGAAAGUUGUUUGAUGAAAGGUUUCAUAGAGCCACAAGUUAAAAUCACAUUCAAACAAACUCCUCUCAUUGCCUCAAUAUUUGCUUGGACACGGGGGCUAGAACAUAGACCUGAUGAUAUGUACCAACCAAAUCCAUACAACACUAAUACUAUUUUGGUAAGCUUUAUGGCUAAAAGAAUGACAGGAUCAAUCAAGAACGUGUAAUGGCUAAAGAAGCAAAAUUUAAAGUUAUG